UUUCGAAGUCGUUACUACGUUCAAUUAUUUCGCGAAUUUUCGUCUGAAUUAAGACUUAUAAAAUUCUCAAUAAAGUCUGCAAAUAAUCUGAAACUCAAUCACCCGCCCCACGAGUCAAUUUAUACUAGAGUUAACAUUUUGUAAAAGUUUAGAACUAAUUAAUAAUAAUAAGUUCAUUUAUCGACAAGUUGUAAUUUGUAACCCCUACGACGACGUUUUGUACCGGCCAACUGUAAACCAGGAAAUCAGGAGAAAUCGGACCAAAUAAAAUAUCAAUCAGCUUAUAAAUCGUGAAACUAUCUUGCGUGCAUACGAUUGCUGACAAGGUAUAAUGACAUCGUUACACAAGACGUUGCAAGAAAGCAGGAAGGAUAUGGACAGUGACAGGGUUACACCUUCUCGUAGUAUACUGUUACUAUCUUCGAAGAGCUGUGCAAUGCAUACUAAGUAGUUCUGGAGAAUCACUUCGUAGUUGCUAGAAGAAAGAGAGAGAGGAGAAGAUUGAAAAAGACAGCCCUCGAAGAUGGCAUCAAGAGCACGGAAAUGAAUGAAUCAGGCCAGAUUAGUUUUGUCUCGAUAUGUAUACGUUUGUGCAUUUAUGUAUUUUGGUAUGCGUCCAGUGAGAGCGUGUGUGUGAGAGUAAACUCUCUGAAUCUGUGGAUCGAGCUGACUGGCCUUGCGAGCAGCUCUAUACGCUCGACGAAAGCCUGUUCUGUCGGCUUAAGGAGGAGUAAGGGGUUUGUGUGUGCUCCAGCAUCAGCGGCAGCAGCAGGCCGUUGAACAGCCUUCCAGCUUGACCACAACCGUCGCAGCCAGAAUCACGACCACGAAACGUCUCCGCCGGCUCUCUCUCUCUCUCUCUCUCUCUCUCUCUCUCUCUCUCUCUAAGACGACGACUGGUGUGGUAACCGCAAAAUAAAUAUAUGCUAUGUGUGCGUAUAAAUGGAGUCACAUCGAUGACGGUGUGCGUUACUCAACUGGAACACACGGCCGUGCUAGUUGCGACCAUCGUACACUGGAUUGUUCUCAUUACGAGUAGCGAUUAGGAUAACUGGAUUUACUUAUAGAAUAUUUCAUGUCAAAAGUCUCGUUUUUACGUUCAUCGUCCGAAUAAACUUAUCCAAAAAUA